rnacentral:rRNA from 1 species
AGAGUUUGAUCCUGGCUCAGGAUGAACGCUAGCGGCAGGCUUAAUACAUGCAAGUCGUGGGGCAGCGCAGGUAGCAAUACUGGGCGGCGACCGGCAAACGGGUGCGGAACACGUACACAACCUUCCGAGAAGUGGGGAAUAGCCCAGAGAAAUUUGGAUUAAUACCCCGUAACAUAACGAUGUGGCAUCACAUUGUUAUUAUAGCUUCGGCGCUUCUUGAUGGGUGUGCGGCUGAUUAGAUAGUUGGCGGGGUAACGGCCCACCAAGUCUACGAUCAGUAGCUGAUGUGAGAGCAUGAUCAGCCACACGGGCACUGAGACACGGGCCCGACUCCUACGGGAGGCAGCAGUAAGGAAUAUUGGUCAAUGGACGCAAGUCUGAACCAGCCAUGCCGCGUGAAGGAUUAAGGUCCUCUGGAUUGUAAACUUCUUUUAUCUGGGACGAAAAAAGGCGAUUCUUCGUCACUUGACGGUACCAGAUGAAUAAGCACCGGCUAACUCCGUGCCAGCAGCCGCGGUAAUACGGAGGGUGCAAGCGUUAUCCGGAUUCACUGGGUUUAAAGGGUGCGUAGGCGGGCAGGUAAGUCAGUGGUGAAAUCCUAGAGCUUAACUCUAGAACUGCCAUUGAUACUAUCUGUCUUGAAUAUUGUGGAGGUAAGCGGAAUAUGUCAUGUAGCGGUGAAAUGCUUAGAUAUGACAUAGAACACCUAUUGCGAAGGCAGCUUACUACGCAUAUAUUGACGCUGAGGCACGAAAGCGUGGGGAUCAAACAGGAUUAGAUACCCUGGUAGUCCACGCCCU